GGAAGUAGACAGUGCUCACCUGACCCUCACUGAUGAUGAAGAAGGUGUCCCCUGUGGCACCCUCCCGGAUGAUAUAAUCACCAUCGCUGUAAACGUCCGCCAGCUUGCUGAGAAUGUCCUCAGGAAGGGCCUGGAAGGACGGAACGCUAGAGGCGGGACGACAUGGCGUCAAUAUGACAUCAUCAUCUGACAGUGGGAUUGACGUGUUGGAGUCUAGCAGCUGCAUCUCAUCAUCCUAAUUACGCCUGACUACUCUUAAGACACUGGACACUGUGCGACUCCCACUCGUUGCCAGACUAUCACCGCUCUACGUCGAUCUGCCAUCUGCCCUUGCUCCCUGCAAACCAGCACUCACCUCCUGCUGCCCACCGACAAUCCUGACUCCUACCCAGCCAGACAGUAGCUGGUGAGCGUGACAUCAGUGAGCUGGGCCGGGUCUAAAGCGGUGGGUUCUGCAGAGAUUGCCUGUCUCUUGAUACGCUGAGGCUCGUCCAAUGACACUGGCGUCAUCGGUGGAGCAUCACCUGCUGGACAUAAAGAACCACAACCUCAAGCUAAGUGGACCGCUGCAGCUCAACACCUAACCAGAACAUUUUAUACCCGACUAACACAUUGGUGGAAAUCUACAGCCUGACUACUAAUAAAGUCGUAUGUUAGUUCGUUGGCUCAUUUGGUGGUCCAUUCAACCUUUUGUUUUUUUGGUUGGUUGGUUAGUUCCUUGGUUUGUUGGUUUAUUAAUUGGCUCGUUGGUUGGUUGGCUCGUUGGUUGGUUGGUUAGCUCUACAAUUCAUCUAUUGUUUGAGUCAGUGGUUCUUUCUUUGGCUUGUUCGUUGAUUCAUUUGUUGGUUGGGUUCCCACAGUUACAUUGUAAAAGUAACUUACUUUACUGAUUACUUGAGCUUAAAAGAAACUUAGUUACUUUUCUGAUUACUUGAUUUCAAAAGUAACUAAGUUAGAAAAAAGUUACUUAGUUACUUUCAGCAGCUGCCAAGUGGCAGGAAUAUCACUUAUCCACAGUACAAAAAAAAGCAUUAUCUUAACUGUACCCAUCCAUCCAUUCAUCCAUUUUCUUCCGCUUAUCCGAGGUCGGGUUGCGGGGGCAGUAGCUUUAGCAGGGACGCCCAGACUUCCCUCUCCCCAGCCACUUCAUCCAGCUCUUCCGGGGGGAUCCCGAGGCGUUCACAGACCAGCCGAAGGAUGUAGUCUCUCCAGCGUGUCCUGGGUCGUCCCCGUGGUCUCCUCCCGGUGGGACGUGCCCGGAACACCUCACCAGGGAGGCAUCCGAAUCAGAUGCCCCAGCCACCUCAUCUGGCUCCUCUCGAUGUGAAGGAGCAGCAGCUCUACUCUGAGAUCCUCCCGGAUGACCGAGCUUCUCACCCUAUCUCUAAGGGAGAGCCCGGACACCCUGCGUAGGAAACUCAUUUCGGCCGCUUGUAUCCUGGAUCUUGUUCUUUCGGUCACGACCCACAGCUCGUGACCAUAGGUGAGGGUAGGAAUGUAGAUCGACCGGUAAAUCGAGAGCUCCUUCUUCACCACAAUGGACCAAUACAAAGUUUGCAUCACUGCAGAUGCUCCACCGAUCUGCCUGUCGAUCUCCCGUUCCAUUCUUCCCUCACUCUUGAACAAGACCCCAAGAUACUUGUACUCCUCCACUUGGGGCAGGAUCUCAUCCCCGACCUGGAGAGGGCACGCCACCCUUUUCUGACAGAGGACCACGGUCUCAGAUUUGGAGGUGCUGAUUCUCAUCCCAGCCGCUUCACACUCGGCUGCGAACCGCUCCAGUGAGAGUUGGAGGUCACGGCUUGAUGAAGCCAACAGAACCACAUCAUCUGCAAAAAGCAGAGAUGCAAUACUGAGGCCACCAAACCGGACCCCCUCUAUGCCUCGGCUGCGCCUAGAAAUUCUGUCCAUAAAAAUUAUGAACAGAAUCGGUGACAAAGGGCAGCCUUGGCGGAGUCCAACUCUCACCGGAAACGAGUCCGACUUACUGCCGGAUAUGCGGACCAAACUCUGACUCCGAUCGCACAGGGACCGAACAGCCCGUAUCAGGGGGUUCGGUACCCCAUACUCCCGAAGCACCCCCCACAGGACCCCCGAGGGACACGGUCGAACGCCUUCUCCAAGUCCACAAAACACAUGUAGACUGGUUGGGCGAACUCCCAUGCACCCUCGAGGAUCCUGCCAAGGGUGUAGAGCUGGUCCACUGUUCCACGGCCAGGACGAAAACCACACUGCUCCUCCUGAAUCUGAGAUUCGACUUCCCGACGGUAGACCUUACCGGGGAGGCUGAGGAGUGUGAUCACCCUGUAGUUGGAACACACCCUCCGGUCCCCUCUCUUUAAAAGGGACUCUCUUAACUGUACCCAUUACUUGGUAAUGUAUGCCACACAAGUUACAGAAAGAUGUCAUCAACAUGAACCAAUAACUUAAUGAGUGUCGUUGAAGCCACAUUGAAGCAACUUAGUGCAGACUUGACAUGCCAACACAGUACAGUAAGUACCUAAAU